AGUAACACGUGUUUGUGAUUGAAGCCAAGUCCCUUUGCUGUGCUGCUUUAGGUAAAUGUUUUUGUUCAUUUCUGGUGAGGGGGGGUUGGGAGCACUGAAGCCUUUAGUCUCUUCCAGAUUCAACCUAAAAUCUGACAAGAAAUAAAUUCAGACAAGCAACAUUCUUGAAGAAAUUUAACUGGCAAGUGGAAAUGUUCUUAACAGUUCCGUGGUCUUUAGUGCAUUGUCUCUGUAGGUGUCUCUCUCCCCUCCCUUGGUCUUAAUUCUUACAUGCAGGAACAUUGAAAACAGCAGACAUCUAUUCGAGGGCCCAGAGAAGCCAGACCCAGUAAGGAAAAAUAGCCUAUUUACUUUAAAUCGAUAAAAGUGAACCAGACAUUCCAUUAUCAAUGUGGGGAUUGGGAAGCCCUAGUUCUUUCAGAUGUACUUCAAACUAGAAGGAGCUUCCAGUUGAAUUCACCAGUGGACAAAUGAUGACAACAGGUGAACAAGCCUUUUCUUGUUUAAGAUUAGUUACUGGUAAAUUAGUGUUGAAUUCUCUUCAGCUUCAUGCUGAAGCAGCUAGCAUGUAAUGUUUUGUUGGCCUUGGGGUGGAGGGGUGAGGUGGGCGCUAAGCCUUUUUUUAAGAUUUUCCAGGUACCCCUCACUAAAGGCACUGAAGGCUUAAUGUAGCACAGCGGAGCCUUCCUGUGGCAAGAGUCAAGCAAGCAAAGUGGUAUCAUGGUUGGUUUUGAUUAGCAGUGAGGACUACCCUACCUCAACACCUUGCUGGAGUUGAAAGAAACAUUCAAAGAAAAUACUUGAGAGGCCCUGGGCUUGUUUUAACAUCUGGAAAAGCUGUUUUUAUAGCAGCUGUUAGCAGCCCAAACCUCAAGUUGUGCUUGA
rnacentral:lncRNA from 1 species